UGGUGGUUUAUAAGGAGGUCUCUCGGUCUCUAGUCGUAAAGUAAACAUUCCUCUGUCUAUCUGUGGUCUCGGAACCGGUCUCCGUGCGCUGUUAAGAGAGAUAUGAUGGUUUUAAUGAGUGGUUUCUCCAAUCCUAGGUUCGUGUGCCUGGUGGUGGUUUCUAAGGCGGUCUCUCGGUCUCUAGUCGUAAAGUAAACGUUCCUCUGUCUAUCUGUGGUCUCGGAACCGGUCUCCGUGCGCUGUUAAGAGAGAUAUGAUGGUUUUAAUGAGUGGUUUCUCCAAUCCUAGGUUCGUGUGCCUGGUGGUGGUUUCUAAGGAGGUCUCUCGGUCUCUAGUCGUAAAGUAAAUGUUCCUCUGUCUAUCUGUGGUCUCGGAACCGGUCUCCAUGUGCUGUUAAGAGAGAUAUGAUGGUUUUAAUGAGUGGUUUCUCCAAUCCUAGGUUCGUGUGCCUGGUGGUGGUUUCUAAGGAGGUCUCUCGGUCUCUAGUUGUAAAGUAAACAUUCCUCUGUCUAUCUGUGGUCUCGGAACCGGUCUCCGUGUGCUGUUAAGAGAGAUAUGAUGGUUUUAAUGAGUGGUUUCUCUCCUCCCAUCCUAUAAGUUUGUGUGGUAGUAGUAGUAGUAGUAGUAGUAGUAGUAGUAGUAGUAAAGUCUGUGACCCAACUAAUAAUUAAAAUAAAAUAAAACCAAUAUUAUUAC